AUUCAAAAAUAUGUUACACAGGUGUAUCAUAAAUUAUAUACCUAUGAAACUUCUAUGAUAUAUCUGCCUAGGAACAAGCCUUCUGUCUGUCUCUCUGGCUAUCUAUCAGGGAGACUAACUCCCAGUGUGGGGGACAAUUUCUUAUUUAGUGAUUGAAGCGGCAGGUGGUCCUGUGGGUGUAUAUGAAAGCAGGCCAAGCAAGCUAUACGGAGCAAACCAGUAAACAGCACCCCUCCAUGGCUUCUGCAGAAGUUUCUGCCUCCGGGUUCCUGCCAUGAGUUCCCUGGAUGAUGACCCGCAAGUUGUAAGAUGCUCUUCCCCUGAUAUAUUUUUGGUCACUGUGUUUUAUCACAGGAAUCCUGACUGAGGCAUGUUUCUUCACCUCAGAAAUUUCCCAUGUGACCAUUUGAAGUUCCUAUGCCCGUCAUCAGCCUUAGGCAUCUAGGGAUCUACAUUUUGUCUCUAUAAAUCCAUCCUUUAAGGCAUUUCAAAUAAAUGAAAUUAGAUCACACAGAGAGUUUUUAAUCCAGCUCCUGUCCCUUAGUUUUGAAGUUUACCUGUUGUAGCAAAUACCUUAAGAAUGUUAAGAAUCCAAAUGCCAUGAGAGUAAUUAGGAAAUAUUUAACCGGAUUGAAAACGACUCAGCUGUUAUUCAGACUCACAGCUCUAUAGGGAUGCCAGCUGGUGUGUUUAUCAUAGAUACACCAUGACUGACUACAUACGGAUCCUAAUCAUAGCUUGUUGACUAGCUAAAGUGAUUCUGAAGUAUAAACUUCAUAAAACAAUGUCUAAAAUAUAGACACAGAUCUACUGGAUGGUUGCUAUGUAUUAAACCAGUAAACCUUUUCUGCAGUGCUGGGAAUAGAACCCGGGCUCUCACAAAUGCUAGGCAUGUUCUUCAGCUCUGAGCUACAUCCCCAGUCCCCAGUAAACAAUGAUUGAGCAAUGGCCGCUGUGAGGAGCACACAUCAUAUUUAGAUUUAUAUGACUGACUUUAAUUUCUCCUGAGAGUCUAAUCAGCCCUGCCAACCUAAGGGGACAGCUAACUUCUGGUGUUUUGGAAAACUGGUUUGAACAUUACAAGGUUGUGAUGGGCUUAUUGUUGUAAAUGAUGAGAGUCCCAGAAUGCUCAUGCAGGCGCACUGCUAUACUUACAAAUUGUCCUCAAUUCUCUUCAAGGAUUCCAAAACUAAGGAAUGGACGCUGUCUAAAGAGCAGGAACCAAAGCAAUUGAGAGCUGGAACGAAUCUGAUUUUCAUGACCCAGUCAUUGUGCAGCUUCCUUUUAAUGCUGGGAACGAGAAGGGGGAGGGCCGAUAUGUUAGACACACACACUUACAAUGCUCGUUCCUUUUUCCAGUCAGCAUUUCAUUUAAAUCGAAUCAAACUGUAACCCUCAACCAUGCUACGUCUACAGGUAACACCGCAGCCCCAGCUCCACACCAUUUUCUGCUGGUCAACUUGUCUUAAUCUAGCAUAAGACAGUAACUUCACAAGACUCUUGUCACAACUUGAGCUCUGACUUCAGCAGUAAACGUGGGGCUCAAGUUAACUAGACUUUGGAUCUCUUUGGAAACAAAUCUGUAGAUACUUAUGUGAAGAGGGGUUUAACGGAGGAAGGACAGACCACCCUGAAUGUGGUGACACAGUUCCAUGGGCUGGAAUCCUGGAAGAAAAGCAUGAACCUCAGCACUUGUCAUCCUCUGCUCCUGAGAGCACACAUGGGACAAGCUCACGGUCCUGCCACUACGGAGGCCUCACCAUGAUGGAGGCCUCACCGUGAUGGAGGCCUCACUGUGAUGGAGGCCUCACCGUGAUGGAGGCCUCACCGUGAUGGAGGUCUCACCAUGACGGAGGUCUCACCAUAAUGGGCUGUAUCCCUUCUACUAAACCUAGAGUCAAAACAAACCCUUCCUUCAGUUAGCUUUUCAAAUAUUUUGUCACAAUGACAAGAAAAGGAACUGGUAAGAAAGGAAAAAUCUAGAAGGAUCUGAGUGGAACAUUAGCAAUCUCAUCCUUACUUUAAUGAAAAACACUCUGAGCACUCACAUGUGAUUAGCCUAAGAUUCUGGCUAUCACAUGGCUUCUGGUAGAAGAACAGACAGGUUCAUGACUCCAGGCGGUAAGUGGUGUACAGUACGGAGGGAAGCACAGUAGAGGAGAGUUGCUUCCCCUCCCCCAAUCCUAGAUUUUGUUUAAUUUUCCAUCUCUUGCUAUUGGCUAAUUUUCUAAUUUGUACAGUGUUCCAAAAUGCCACUGUUUUCUGGCCACAUCUUUACUGACUCAAAAUGAACAAAAUCAGAGAAUGUCAACUUCAGGACUGCUCUUAUGAGAAUUCCAAAAUCCAACUGCCCUUCUAGUCUUACAAUAUUUCAUUCUAAUAGGUUUUAGGAUCUCUUGUUGGAAGAAAAUGACUCAACACUCAAUCUACACUUGAUUCUUAGAUUUAACGGCAUGGUGGCCGUCCAGCACUUGUCAUCCUCUGCUCCUGAGAGCAGACAUGCGACAAGCUCACGUACAUUAUGUCCUCAGGAAGCAGAAGGAUCACAUUCAUUCUACCACAUCAUCGCUGUUUACCGUGAACCUGGUCACAAACCCACCAUCGUCCCCCAGGAGGAUGUCAUCUCUGCAGAGCUGGUCAGCGAGGGGUACCACGCACACACACAGCAGGCAAUGGUCCAUGGGCUUGAUGACAAAAUAGUGCUCCUGAAAUCAGAAGAGAUCCAACAGUGAUACCAGAAUUUGGAAAGUCUAGGCAAAAAUUAACCAAAUUCAAGUUAAAGCUGUGAACUACCUUGGGUGUUUCAUAUGGAAAGAAGGGGAGCCACUCCCUUGGGCUAGGUGAGUAUGGGGAUCUUAGAAAGUGCUACCUGUGUGACCUGGCAUGCCUUUUCUCGGCUUAGUAAGGAAAUACUGAGCUGGCCUCAAACUCCCCAUUUAUUCUAGAGAGAUCUUAAACCUGGACCCUCCUGCCUGUGUCUUCCAAGUGCUGGGAUGCCUGUUUGUGGAAUGCUAGGGGUUGGAACUCAAGGAGUCUCAUCUAUGCAGGUCUUAUUCAUGAGUUUUAUAAGGAAUUACCAAGAGAAAAAUACUCGGAUAUGCGACAAGUCCGUGCAAGCUUACUCUAAACGGUUAGAGGGUUCACUAAGAUAGACAGCUGGUAUUGCUUUUCCAGAACUCAGUGUCUUAAGAGAGAAGAAGCGUAGACUAAAAUUUCUGUGAUUUAUUCUCCGUAAGAUGAGUAAGAAGUGACUUAUUUAGAGGCCCAUUGAUCCAUGGGCUAAUGUGCAGUGACCACUAACGAAGUGCAAAGAUUGUCCCAGGCGUGACUGUACAGGAUGAGUCCGCCAAAGUUUCCCGCUCUGUGGAAAGCGACCCUGCAAGAAGGGAAGACAGGAAGCAAGAUGGAGCACAGUGCCGUACGUGGACAGUGGCCACUUUAGGUUAUGUGGGCAAAGGUGAAGUGGAGUAGGGUGGGGGAGGAAACUGA